UCUUCAUUGGUCCAAUGGCUAGCACACAUGAUGACCAAUACAUGAUAACUGGGUUCAAUUCCCAGAUGAAGAG
rnacentral:tRNA from 1 species